AUACGGGGGGUGCAAGCGUUAAUCGGAAUUACUGGGCGUAAAGCGCGCGUAGGCGGCUUGCUCAGUCGGAUGUGAAAGCCCAGGGCUCAACCUUGGAACUGCAUACGAUACUGGCAAACUAGAGUGUGAGAGAGGAUAGUGGAAUUUCCGGUGUAGCGGUGAAAUGCGUAGAUAUCGGAAGGAACAUCAGUGGCGAAGGCGACUGUCUGGCUCAACACUGACGCUGAGGUGCGAAAGCGUGGGUAGCAAACAGGAUUAGAAACCCUAGUAGUCC
rnacentral:rRNA from 1 species